AAAGACCACACUCAGGCCAAGCACUGUGGUUCCCGCCUGAAAUCCCAGCGCUUUGGGAGGUGGAGGCAAGAGGAUUGCUUGAGCUCAGAAGUUCAAGACCACCCUGGGCAACACAAGCCAGCCCUGCAGCACAGCCUUCAACAUGAGCAACUCCUGCUCUCUGUAGCUCCAGCCCCAGCCUGGACCUAUCUUUCAGAGCCAUAAUGCUGAGACAGUCCCUGAGUCUUGGAUGAACACGUGAGGAGAAGAUGCUGUUCUGAGAGCUGCUGAUAAUACGUGGAUCCAAACCCACAGGCUUGAGCUGCUUAAUUGAAAUUCACGUCAAAAUGAAAUUCUGGUUUAGCUCAACUUGACUACUAUGGAUGAUGAAAAUAAAUCCCUGGGUCACACAAGGAUAGUGAUUGAGUAGAGCUUGUUUGCUGGCACAGGAAUGACAUUUCAACUGGAAUUAAAUUGUCGUCAGUUAACAGAACUGAAUUUUCAGUCAUUCUUUGACUUGAAUUUUCUUUUUUCCCAAGAUAACAUGGACAGGACCCAG
rnacentral:lncRNA from 10 species